GGGAUCAAGGUGUUAGCGGCAGCAUUGCCGGUUCUUACCCGGUCAGGUCAGGGUUCAAGUCCCUGUGGUCCCA
rnacentral:tRNA from 2 species